UUCCAGACUCCUACGGGAGGCAGCAGUGGGGGAUAUUGCACAAUGGGGGAAACCCUGAUGCAGCGACGCCGCGUGGGUGAAGAAGUAUUUCGGUAUGUAAAGCUCUAUCAGCAGGGAAGAAGAUGACGGUACCUGACUAAGAAGCCCCGGCUAACUACGUGCCAGCAGCCGCGGUAAUACGUAGGGGGCAAGCGUUAUCCGGAUUUACUGGGUGUAAAGGGAGCGUAGACGGCAGGGCAAGUCUGGAGUGAAAGCCCGGGGCCCAACCCCGGGACUGCUUUGGAAACUGCCAUGCUAGAGUGCUGGAGAGGUAAGCGGAAUUCCUAGUGUAGCGGUGAAAUGCGUAGAUAUUAGGAGGAACACCAGUGGCGAAGGCGGCUUACUGGACAGUAACUGACGUUGAGGCUCGAAAGCGUGGGGAGCAAACAGGAUUAGAUACCCGAGUACA
rnacentral:rRNA from 1 species